ensembl:miRNA
UUGGGUGACAUUUGUAGAUGUCUCUGUAUCUUGACAUUUACACGUGUCGCUCGGGA